AAGAAAUAUACAGAGUUCAGAAAGAGCCUUACAUUGGAUCCUGACUGCUAGAGAAAACAGAAUUUACAUGUAGCAAUCCGGAAAGUUUCCAAGGCAACACCAGCUUCUUAUGACAUCCCAAAGAGAGGUCACAAUUGUGGCAGGCAUGUCAAUAUUGCUGGUUAAGCCUUGAGAGGUCCUUUUUGGUUAGGAUGAGAACAUCAUGGCCUCACCUUUGGAUUCCAAAGCAGAUUCAACACAAGAGUUCUUAAAAACACAAUACUUUUAUUGGCUUCUCAUCCUUUGGCAACAGCACACUCAUAUGCAGCUUGUUGAUUUGGCUGAAUCCUUCAUUCAGGAGCUUGGUGUAGCGUUCAGUGUGGCUCCUCCUGCAGUUCUUCUUGGCUCCCAGAGGUCAGCACCAGGCAGUGCUCUCAGGUGGUGACUGAGGAUGACACAGGAAGAAAGUGGGCAAAAACUGGAAAUGCAGGGAAUCAUAAGUUGGGAAAACCAAGACUUGGAGAGGGAAAAUGACUUGCUCAAAGCAACUUUAAAAAGGAAUGUCACCUUGAACUCCAGUGGAAGGAAGUUAAUUGAAUUUUACUACAAGCAAACUUCUGGAAAAAUCAAGGUUUACCAUGUCUUACUUACUCUGUACGUCUCAAGGGACUUUGAGAAGACACCUUCAUCAUUACGUCAAAAAACACUUACUAAGCAACAAUGACAUGCAAGAUACCAUGCUAAAUAUUGGGAAUGUGAAGAAAGAUAAAAUAUGGUCUAUAUUCUCAAGCAGCUAUAACCAUAGAUUUAGAGCUGAAAGUGAUCUCAGAGUCCAGUUCUCUUAUUUUACAGAGGAGAUCCAGAAAAGUGAAUGGACUUUCCCAUUGUGACAUGGUUGCUCACCAUGGCAGAACUGGCAUUCAGACUCAGGUCAUCUCACUCCAAAUUUGGCAGUCUUUCCACACUGCUGGGGGGGUAGCACUGAUUAUUUAUUUCAGAAACCAAACAGCUAUACUUUCCUUUAAAAUAUCCAGGAAAAAAGACUCUGCUACUAUUCCAGGAGUGUAUUUCAAUGUUUCAAAGCCAUUAAGAUGUCCUUUAUAAUGUCAAAUGUGUCUCCAGCUGCCGCUGAGUUAAUGUCUGUAAAAUACUUGAAACUCAUUAAAUUAAAACAUACUGUAUGGGUCCUGACCAUUGCUGUUCUGUGUGAGGGUUAUGAGUUUUGGACUUAGGUCAGCAAUUUCCCUAUC
rnacentral:lncRNA from 1 species